GCGAGUGAACCGGGAAGAAGCUCAAAUUUGAAAUCUGGCAGUCUUCGAUUGUCCGAGUUGUAAUCUAUAGAAGCGUUUUCCGUGCUGAACUGUGUAUAAGUCCCUUGGAACAGGGUAUCAAAGAGGGUGACAAUCCCGUACUUUACACAAUCAUCAGUGCUCUGUGAUACGUUCUCUACGAGUCGAGUUGUUUGGGAAUGCAGCUCAAAAUGGGUGGUAAAUUCCAUCUAAAGCUAAAUAUUGGCGAGAGACCGAUAGCGAACAAGUACCGUGAGGGAAAGAUGAAAAGCACUUUGGAAAGAGAGUUAAACAGUACGUGAAAUUGUUGAAAGGGAAACGAUUGAAGUCAGUCGUGUUCAUUGGACUCAGCCGGUUUUCGGUGUAUUUCCUUUGAACGGGUCAACAUCAGUUUUGUCCGGUGGAUAAAGGUAGUAGGAAGGUGGCUCCCCCGGGAGUGUUAUAGCCUAUUGCCACAUACACUGGAGGAGACUGAGGACUGCAGCUUGCCUUUAUGGCCGGGGUUCGCCCACGUUCAAGCUUAGGAUGUUGACAUAAUGGCUUUAAACGACCC
rnacentral:rRNA from 2 species